GAUGAACGCUGGCGGCGUGCCUAAUACAUGCAAGUCGAGCGAACAGAUGAGGAGCUUGCUCCUCUGACGUUAGCGGCGGACGGGUGAGUAACACGUGGAUAACCUACCUAUAAGACUGGGAUAACUUCGGGAAACCGGAGCUAAUACCGGAUAAUAUAUUGAACCGCAUGGUUCAAUAGUGAAAGACGGUUUUGCUGUCACUUAUAGAUGGAUCCGAGCCGCAUUAGCUAGUUGGUAAGGUAAAGGCUUACCAAGGCAACGAUGCGUAGCCGACCUGAGAGGGUGAUCGGCCACCCUGGAGCGUAGACACGGUCCAGACUCCUACGGGAGGCAGCAGUAGGGAAUCUUCCGCAAUGGGCGAAAGCCUUACGGAGCAACGCCGCGUGAGUGAUGAAGGUCUUCGGAUCGUAAAACUCUGUUAUUAGGGAAGAACAAAUGUGUAAGUAACUAUGCACGUCUUGACGGUACCUGAUCAGAAAGCCACGGCUAACUACGUG
rnacentral:rRNA from 1 species